GCGAGAGAGAUCGGACAGCUAUGAAACAGCUGUUUCGGAAGAAAAAUUAAAAAGAUUUGAGGUCUCUCUUAAGAGCAAAUGGAGAAUCAGGCAGCACGUGCUCUUAGUGAACCCCUCUCCCUUAAUUUUGUUUUGCUAAACUUAUUUUAUUAGAGAGACUUUUUCUUUUCAAAACAGUGUAUGAUAUUAUUUAUCCUUUGGAAACAUUCUUAUGUUUUGCUCUUCCACAUGCUCCCGCCUUUCUCUCCUCCUUUCUCCGCCGUUUGAUCAUUUCCCCCGCCUUGUUUUCUGGCCGUCCGGCGAGCUGACACUUGGGCAGAUGCUACCGGAUGCC